GAUGAACGCUGGCGGCGUGCCUAAUACAUGCAAGUCGAGCGAACAGACGAGGAGCUUGCUCCUCUGAUGUUAGCGGCGGACGGGUGAGUAACACGUGGAUAACCUACCUAUAAGACUGGGAUAACUUCGGGAAACCGGAGCUAAUACCGGAUAACAUGUUGAACCGCAUGGUUCAACAGUGAAAGACGGUCUUGCUGUCACUUAUAGAUGGAUCCGCGCCGCAUUAGCUAGUUGGUAAGGUAACGGCUUACCAAGGCAACGAUGCGUAGCCGACCUGAGAGGGUGAUCGGCCACACUGGAGCUGAGACACGGUCCAGACUCCUACGGGAGGCAGCAGUAGGGAAUCUUCCGCAAUGGGCGAAAGCCUGACGGAGCAACGCCGCGUGAGUGAAGAAGGUCUUCGGAUCGUAAAACUCUGUUAUUAGGGAAGAACAAAUGUGUAAGUAACUAUGCACGUCUUGACGGUACCUAAUCAGAAAGCCACGGCUAACUACGUG
rnacentral:rRNA from 1 species